rnacentral:lncRNA from 1 species
AUGUCUUAUACUCUUUAACCUCAAUGUUCUUGAGUUCCCAUCAUCUUUUAUCGAAAUUUGGAACAGGUGGAGGCAUUCCCAUUUUGUUAAAACUAAGUUCCCUGCUUUAGAAUGUCUUCUUAAAACUGCUAUUUGAUGCACCUAGAAAGAACGCAACCUCCGAGUCUUUCAUCACCAAGCCAAUAUACCUCCCAUGACGGCAAGGAAAAUAGUUAAUACAUUUGUAAGCUGGGCGUCGGUAAUCUCCCACCCAAACAUUAAAUUCUUGAUUUUUCAGCUCCCUU